CAGCCGCCGCGGUAAUACGUAGGGUGCGAGCGUUAAUCGGAAUUAUUGGGCGUAAAGGGUGCGUAGGCGGCUUGACAAGUCUUGUGUGAAAUCUAUGGGCUCAACCCAUAGUCUGCACGGGAAACUGUCGGGCUUGAGGAUGGGAGAGGUGAGUGGAAUUUCCGGUGUAGCGGUGAAAUGCGUAGAUAUCGGAAGGAACACCUGUGGCGAAAGCGGCUCACUGGACCAUUUCUGACGCUGAUGCACGAAAGCUAGGGGAGCAAACAGGAUUAGAUACCCGCGUAGUCCCUGUCUCUUAUAC
rnacentral:rRNA from 1 species